rfam:Triticum aestivum genome assembly, contig: Triticum_aestivum_CS42_TGACv1_scaffold_343111_4DL
AUUAUACUCCCUCCGUCCGGAAAAUACGUGUCGGAGAAAUAGAUGUAUCUAGACGUAUCUUAGUUCUAGAUACAUCCAAUUUUAUUCAUUUCCAUUACAAGUAUUUUCGGACGAAGGGAGUAUAUA